rfam:Medicago truncatula strain A17 chromosome 8, whole genome shotgun sequence.
AAGUAGCGUGACAUGCCCGUUUUGGAAAUACUCUGAUGUAUGAUUAUUUAUUAUUUAAUUGUUUUGGGUAACGGGGUGUUACACCUUU